rnacentral:tRNA from 1 species
GCGGGAGUAGUUCAGCGGUAGAACGCCACCUUCCCAAGGUGGAUGUCGAGGGUUCAACUCCCUCCUCCCGCUCCA